rnacentral:tRNA from 1 species
GGGACUAUGGCUCAGUGGUAGAGCGCUUGCCUAGCAUGCAUGAAGCCCUGGGUUCGAUUCCUCAGUACCA